rnacentral:lncRNA from 1 species
CAGAGCCCACAGAGCCGAGCCCAGAGCUGACAGUACAAACUUACAAAGGGCAGGUGUGCUUGAGGAAAGUGACAGGAGAUGGGAGGGAGGGCUCAGAUGCCCCAGGUAACUCGGCUCUUAGGAAGGGCACAGAGCCCCAAGCAGCAGAGGAAAGCAAGCUGUUCAACUGCACCCUGGAAAGGAAAGAUGUUCAGAGAGGAUCAGUCAGGGAAAGGGCUCAGAAGACAAGAAACUGCAGGGGGUGGGGGGCACUGCUGGUCACUCUGCCUCAGUUUCCCCAUGUGUACAUGGAUCCAGCUGUGCCACUGCCGUGUAUCUGACUCAACACUUCUCCCCCAGCCUGUGUCUCACCUCUGUCAUUUGAGCUAAAUGCUACUAACAGAGAGAGGUAAGGAAGUGACCGGGAGGCCACAGACAG